rnacentral:rRNA from 1 species
UGAACGCUGGCGGCGUGCUUAACACAUGCAAGUCGAACGAUGAUCCCAGCUUCCUGGGGAUUAGUGGCGAACGGGUGAGUAACACGUGAGUAACCUGCCCUUGACUCUGGGAUAAAGCCUGGGAAACUGGGUCUAAUACCGGAUACGACCAUUCCACGCAUGUGGUGGUGGUGGAAAGCUUUUGCGGUUUUGGAUGGACUCGCGGCCUAUCAGCUUGUUGGUGGGGUAAUGGCCUACCAAGGCGACGACGGGUAGCCGGCCUGAGAGGGUGACCGGCCACACUGGGACUGAGACACGGCCCAGACUCCUACGGGAGGCAGUAGUGGGGAAUAUUGCACAAUGGGCGCAAGCCUGAUGCAGCGACGCCGCGU